rnacentral:rRNA from 1 species
UACAGAGGUCUCAAGCGUUGUUCGGAUUCAUUGGGCGUAAAGGGUGCGUAGGCGGCGCGGUAAGUCGGGUGUGAAAUCUCGGGGCUUAACUCCGAAACUGCAUUCGAUACUGCCGUGCUUGAGGACUGGAGAGGAGACUGGAAUUCCCGGUGUAGCGGUGAAAUGUGUAGAGAUCGGGAGGAACACCGGUGGCGAAGGCGGGUCUCUGGGCAAUUCCUGACGCUGAGGCGCGAAAGCGUGGGGAGCAAACGGG